GCCUGGGUGGCUCAGUCGGUUGAGCAUCUGACUUUAGCUCAGGUCAUUAUCUCGCAGUCCACCCUGCAUCAGGCU
rnacentral:tRNA from 1 species